AACGAACGCUGGCGGCAUGCCUAACACAUGCAAGUCGAAUGAGACCUUCGGGUCUAGUGGCGCACGGGCGCGUAACGCGUGGGAACCUGCCCUUAGGUUCGGAAUAACUCCCCGAAAGGGGUGCUAAUACCGGAUAAUGUCUUCGGACCAAAGAUUUAUCGCCUUUGGAUGGGCCCGCGUUGGAUUAGCUAGUUGGUAGGGUAAAAGCCUACCAAGGCGACGAUCCAUAGCUGGUCUGAGAGGAUGAUCAGCCACACUGGGACUGAGACACGGCCCAGACUCCUACGGGAGGCAGCAGUGGGGAAUAUUGGACAAUGGGCGAAAGCCUGAUCCAGCAAUGCCGCGUGAGUGAUGAAGGCCUUAGGGUUGUAAAGCUCUUUUACCCGGGAUGAUAAUGACAGUACCGGGAGAAUAAGCUCCGGCUAACUCCGUG
rnacentral:rRNA from 1 species